rnacentral:rRNA from 1 species
GAUGAACGCUAGCUACAGGCUUAACACAUGCAAGUCGAGGGGCAGCAUGGUCUUAGCUUGCUAAGGCCGAUGGCGACCGGCGCACGGGUGAGUAACACGUAUCCAACCUGCCGUCUACUCUUGGACAGCCUUGCGAAAGUAAGAUUAAUACCCGGCGGUCUCGGAUGGCCGCAUGACAGUCCGAGUGAAGAUUUAUCGGUAUGAGAUGGCGAUGCGUCCCAUUAGCUUGUUGGUGAGGUAACGGCUCACCAAGGCAUCGAUGGGUAGGGGUUCUGAGAGGAAGGUCCCCCACAUUGGAACUGAGACACGGUCCAA